rnacentral:rRNA from 1 species
UACAGAGGGUGCAAGCGUUGUUCGGAAUCAUUGGGCGUAAAGGGCGUGUAGGCGGUCUGUUAAGUCAUGUGUGAAAUCCCUCGGCUCAACCGGGGAACGACGCAUGAAACUGACAAGCUAGAGUACCAAAGAGGGGGUGGGAAUUCCCGGUGUAGCGGUGAAAUGCGUAGAGAUCAUGAGGAAGACCAGUGGCGAGGGCGGGUCUCUGGAGCAGGUUCCUGACACUGAGACACGAAGGCCAGGGGAGCAAACGGGA